rnacentral:rRNA from 1 species
GGCCCUACGGGGCGCAGCAGGCGCGAAAACUUUACAAUGCGGGAAACCGUGAUAAGGGGACACCGAGUGCCAGCAUCAUAUGCUGGCUGUCCGGGUGUGUAAAAUACACCCGUUAGCAAGGGCCGGGCAAGACCGGUGCCAGCCGCCGCGGUAACACCGGCGGCCCGAGUGGUGAUCGUGAUUAUUGGGUCUAAAGGGUCCGUAGCCGGUUUGGUCAGUCCUCCGGGAAAUCUGAUGGCUCAACCAUUAGGCUUUCGGGGGAUACUGCCAGGCUGGAACC